GAUGAACGCUGGCGGCGUGCCUAAUACAUGCCAGUCGAGCGAACAGACGAGGAGCUUGCUCCUCUGACGUUAGCGGCGGACGGGUGAGUAACACGUGGAUAACCUCCCUAUAAGACUGGGAUAACUUCGGGAAACCGGAGCUAAUACCGGAUAAUAUUUUGAACCGUAUUGUUCAAUAGUGAAAGACGGUUUUGCUGUCACUUAUAGAUGGUUCCGCGCCGCAUUAGCUAGUUGGUAAGGUAACGGCUUACCAAGGCAACGAUGCGUAGCCGACCUGAGAGGGUGGUCAGCCACACUGGAACUGAGACACGGUCCAGACUCCUACGGGAGGCAGCAGUAGGGAAUCUUACGCAAUGGGCGAAAGCCUGACGGAGCAACGCCGCGUGAGUGAUAAAGGUCUUCGGAUCGUAGAACUCUGUUAUUAGGGAGGAACAAAUGUGUAAGUAACUAUGCACGUCUUGACGGUACCUAACCAGAAAGCAACGGCUAACUACGUG
rnacentral:rRNA from 1 species